rnacentral:lncRNA from 1 species
CCCGGGUUUAUCUUUUAUCAUAUACUAGGACAAUGCCCGUGCGUUGCAACGGGACAUACAUGUCUUUCUAGUUCAACAUCAGUCGUAUUUAACAUGUGCCUUUAAGAUCCUCGUGCACGAUAAAAACACUUCUAUUCUUCUUUAUCUUCUGUUUUCAACCACCCCCUCUCUUCUCUAGUAAUUGUGCACAAACAAUCCAGAUGAGUUAAGUACAAGAUUUGUUUUUUGCAUCCAUCCAACCAAAAAAUUAAUUACAUGUAAUACCUUACAUAAAACCUCACGAUCCACUGAACCAUCUACAGGAUGGAAAAAAGCACGAUCGAGAAACUCCUCGAGGCACCGUUUAUUCACCCUGGCCGCCUACUCCUCCUCUACCCAACAAUUUGGCCAAGGGGAACACGCGAGCCAACAGCCAUAUCGAUCGAGGCGCCCCCAAGUAUGUGCAUUUCCGCCACCGCCGGAUGCAUCGCUGACAGCAUAACAGUUGUAUGAUGAUGUAACAUUUUUUAAUAAAAUGUUAGCCAUGUAUAUUCACCAGAAAUUUUGUGUGGCUAUCUUGUCGACUGCCUAUAUAUACAUAGGAAAAACUACUUCAGAUUUGAGGUCUGUACAUACAUGGAGAAAGGUUUAAGAGUCCAAUGCCAAUAAUUUCAUUUUUUUUACUUGACGUUCUCAGUAACAAAUAGAUCACAAUGAGGUACUUCUUAUUCAUGAUGAUCAAUUGUAUCUUACAUACGAAAGGGAAUUUGUUUGGCCAAGAAAUAAAUAACUAAAAACUUCAGUAAAACGAAGGAUAGGUUAUGAUGCACGGUACUGAUUAGACCACAUAUAUCAAUGUACAUAAUUUUUUGUAGGUGCAAAAAGUAGGAGGUAAUAAGCUACGUACCAGGUUGAAGCUCCCCACCCAUCCAAGGAAUAAGGCCAUCACAAUCAUCUUUAUUCAGCAAGUGCACAGGCAUCAUAGUUCUUACCUGAUCUUGACAUGCCACCAUUCUCCUGUUACAUAUGAUGUACCAUUCACUCCCUCUUAUUUUGGGACGAAGGUAGUACUUGUUUACGAAGAACAAUCUUCUUCUGGAACUGCAAUGCACGCACAUCUUAGAUCAGGUUAAACUGAAUCUCAGUCCUAUAAAUUAUGUACGGAUGCGAAUUGGUGGCACCUUGUUCUCCUUUUUCUUUUCUCUGGACGGGUUCCAUCUAUUCAUCUGGACCAUGCACUAUCUCCCAUAAUCCUGCCUUGAAUUAAUAAGCAUGUGCACGCACAACCCUUUUGCCCCACUAAUGGUUGUAGCAGCCCAUGAGCCGUACCUGAUCACUUUGAAC